rnacentral:rRNA from 1 species
CAGCAGCCACGGUAAUACGUAGGGUGCAAGCGUUAAUCGGAAUUACUGGGCGUAAAGCGUGCGCAGGCGGUUAUAUAAGUCAGAUGUGAAAUCCCCGGGCUCAACCUGGGAACUGCAUUUGAGACUGUAUGGCUAGAGUGUGUCAGAGGGGGGUAGAAUUCCACGUGUAGCAGUGAAAUGCAUAGAUAUGUGGAGGAAUACCGAUGGCGAAGGCAGCCCCCUGAGAUAACACUGACGCUCAUGCACGAAAGCGUGGGGAGCAAACAGGAUUAGAUACCCGUGUAGUCCCUGUCUCUUAUAC